UACGUAGGGUCCGAGCGUUGUCCGGAAUUACUGGGCGUAAAGAGCUCGUAGGUGGUUUGUCGCGUUGUUCGUGAAAACUCACAGCUUAACUGUGGGCGUGCGGGCGAUACGGGGCAGACUUGAGUACUGCAGGGGAGACUGGAAUUCCAGGUGUAGCGGUGAAAUGCGUAGAUAUCUGGAGGAACACCGGUGGCGAAGGCGGCAUCCUGGACCGAUAUUGACGCUGAGGCGCGAAAGCCAGGGGAGCAAACGGG
rnacentral:rRNA from 1 species